UUUACGUAACCUUAAGGUUUUCAAUGCCAACGAGUGAUGUAAGCAAAUUUAUAUUCCAGAGAUAAUUUUAAGCAGAAAUACGUUGCUUCGCAUUGAUUUAGAUACACUAACUUCGAAAAAGUGAACUAGCAGCUAACAUUGCUGCAAAAAAUAUUUUUUCAUCAAAAAUUGCACGUGCAUGAAAUUCUUUGAGUAGCGAUACUGAGCAUUAAAUUUUCAUUCCAAAACCACACUCAUCGGGA